UACGAGAGCCUCAAGCGUUAUCCGGAAUUAUUGGGCGUAAAGGGUGUGUAGGCGGCAAUGUUAGUCUCAUGUCAAAGCCUUCCCGCUUAACGGGAAGAUCGCAUGGGAAACGGCAUAGCUAGGAGGGUGCGAGAGGUGAAUGGAACUCACGGUGUAGGGGUGAAAUCCGUUGAUAUCGUGGGGAACGCCAAAAGCGAAGGCAAUUCACUGGCGCAUACCUGACGCUGAAACACGAAAGCCAGGGUAUCGAAUGGG
rnacentral:rRNA from 1 species